rnacentral:ncRNA from 1 species
CGGGGACCGCGCGGCCUCCCGGCCCAAGGCGGCCCCACGAGGGCGCCGCCCAAGAGUCGC